rnacentral:rRNA from 1 species
GAUGAACGCUGGCGGCGUGCCUAACACAUGCAAGUCGAACGGGGUUAAGCAGAAAUUUUCGGAUGGAAGCUUAACUUAGUGGCGGACGGGUGAGUAACGCGUGGAUAACCUGCCUCACACAGGGGGAUAGCAGCUGGAAACGGCUGGUAAUACCGCAUAAGACUACGGAGCCGCAUGGCUUAGUGGUAAAAGAUUUAUCGGUGUGAGAUGGAUCCGCGUCUGAUUAGCCAGUUGGCGGGGUAACGGCCCACCAAAGCGACGAUCAGUAGCCGGCCUGAGAGGGUGAACGGCCACAUUGGGACUGAGACACGGCCCAAACUCC